rnacentral:rRNA from 1 species
UUCCGGUUGAUCCUGCCGGACCUGACUGCUAUCGGAUUGAUACUAAGCCAUGCGAGUCAUUGUAGCAAUACAAGGCAUACGGCUCAGUAACGCGUAGUCAACCUAACCUAUGGACGGGAAUAACCUCGGGAAACUGAGAAUAAUGCCCGAUAGAACAUUAUACCUGGAAUGGUUUAUGUUCCAAAUGAUUUAUCGCCAUAGGAUGGGACUGCGGCCUAUCAGUUUGUUGGUGAGGUAAUGGCCCACCAAGACUAUUACAGGUACGGGCUCUGAGAGGAGUAGCCCGGAGAUGGGUACUGAGACACGGACCCAGGCCCUAUGGGGCGCAGCAGGCGAGAAAACUUUGCAAUGUGCGAAAGCACGACAAGGUUAAUCCGAGUGAUUUCUGCUAAAGAGAUCUUUUGUUAGUCCUAGAAACACUAACGAAUAAGGGGUGGGCAAGUUCUGGUGUCAGCCGCCGCGGUAAAACCAGCACCUCAAGUGGUCAGGAUGAUUAUUGGGCCUAAAGCAUCCGUAGCCGGCUCUGUAAGUUUUCGGUUAAAUCUGUACGCUCAACGUACAGGCUGCCGGGAAUACUGCAGAACUAGGGAGUGGGAGAGGUAGACGGUACUCGGUAGGAAGUGGUAAAAUGCUUUGAUCUAUCGAUGACCACCUGUGGCGAAGGCGGUCUACCAGAACACGUCCGACGGUGAGGGAUGAAAGCUGGGGGAGCAAACCGGAUUAGAUACCCGGGUAGUCCCAGCUGUAAACUAUGCAAACUCAGUGAUGCAUUGGCUUGUGGCCAAUGCAGUGCUGCAGGGAAGCCGUUAAGUUUGCCGCCUGGGAAGUACGUACGCAAGUAUGAAACUUAAAGGAAUUGGCGGGGGAGCACCACAAGGGGUGAAGCCUGCGGUUCAAUUGGAGUCAACGCCGGG